rnacentral:rRNA from 1 species
CUACGGGGGGCAGCAGUAGGGAAUCUUCGGCAAUGGACGGAAGUCUGACCGAGCAACGCCGCGUGAGUGAAGAAGGUUUUCGGAUCGUAAAGCUCUGUUGUAAGAGAAGAACGAGUGUGAGAGUGGAAAGUUCACACUGUGACGGUAUCUUACCAGAAAGGGACGGCUAACUACGUGCCAGCAGCCGCGGUAAUACGUAGGUCCCGAGCGUUGUCCGGAUUUAUUGGGCGUAAAGCGAGCGCAGGCGGUUAGAUAAGUCUGAAGUUAAAGGCUGUGGCUUAACCAUAGUACGCUUUGGAAACUGCUUAACUUGAGUGCAGAAGGGGAGAGUGGAAUUCCAUGUGUAGCGGUGAAAUGCGUAGAUAUAUGGAGGAACACCGGUGGCGAAAGCGGCUCUCUGGUCUGUAACUGACGCUGAGGCUCGAAAGCGUGGGGAGCAAACAGGAUUAGAUACCCUGGUAGUC